GCCUUCGUAGUGCAGUGGUCAGCACGCUCGACGCGUAACCGAGAGGUCCGUGGUUCGAUUCCCGGCGAAGGCG
rfam:Stegodyphus mimosarum contig90661, whole genome shotgun sequence.